CUUUUUCAUUGAGGGGGAAAAGAUGAUGUUUCGUGGUGUCCCAUUCAGUGUUCCUUUAGGACACAGACAGAACUAAAGGAUGGAGUGAGCUAUGAUGUUGGGUGAAGGAAAGCAUUCAUAUAGCAACAACCAACAUGUCUGAUCCCCUGUGAUUCUUAUAGGCUUGACCUGGAAGGCACAACAGCUCUUCUACUUCUGAUGACAACUUGCCAGGGCAUGUAAACUAACUGGCAGGUUAGUUUACCAGAAGAGGUGAACUUUUGGCAGUGGCUGUCAGUCUGUCAGUCACAUGAUGACUGUGAGCUACCAAGACAACACUGAAGAAAAACAGCAACAAAAAUAGAGGCAAAAAGGGUAUGAGCACAUUAUCAUAUUUUCAGUAAGGGAAGUGGCAAUACAACAGCACACGUACUAGAAAGAUCUCGCUGGCACAGGGCCGCCUCAAGAAAGUAAGAACAGGAUAGAGAAGAGCAUCUCGUGUGGUCCCUAAGUGGUUUGCAACACCAGGGCCUUGGACUUGGUAGCCUAAAAAUUUUUUUCCAGUGGAACAUAACUCACAUCUCUAGAAAACAAUGUUAAAUCAACCAUGCUUGUUACGGAAGAGUAACUUUGUCAAUAAGUGAUGGCUAGCUAAGCCAUUAAUUCCAUCAAUCAAACAGUAUUAAACUUUUUAACAUGUCUAAUUUUCUUAUCCAGCUAUACAACCUUACCCUACACUCAGGAAUACUAACAGAUGACUCUUUCCCCUAGUUUUCCUAGUUUUUAACUUCAAGUGUUGUGUAGUGCACACAGUUUAUUAGCCAGCAAGUUGGAAUCUAAUAUACAGACAGGGUAAAAUUGUUGUUCAGCUGUACAUACUGUGUUACACUCUAUUUGAUAAACCAGAUGAAUGGAAAAGCUUAGAUCUGCCCCUUUCCAGCCCUGAAAUACGUAGUUGCUGUUAUCUGGUAGUUCAGAUGGGUAAUAUCAUCUGGAAAAUUGCAAAUAACACCUCUGACUGUAAAGACAGUACAGGCAACCUCCAAAAAUUUUCUUGUUGUCAGACAGCAUUUGUAUAAUUGUUCACCAGAACCUUUCUCUAUUUCUACCAUAUACAGUCAUAUACACUGUUUGCAAAAGGUUCUUUUUUUCCUUUCCUUCUUCCUUCAUGCUCUCUCAUACUUACCUAUCAACUAUCAUUCUUCUAAUACCAGUGUUUGAGAAGUGAGGCAGACAUUUCAAGAGGACUGCAGGACUGUGGCUUAAAAAUUAUUCUUUCUAAGGCCUUGGAUCUACAGCACAUAAGUAAGAUUAAAUGAUUCCAACAGUGGCAUUACUCGAGAAUAUGUUCAAAGAGAGAGCACGCAGCUAACAUGGACUUUUAGCAUCUUUUUGAUGCCUGCUGCCAGGGAUCUCACAAAGGAUUUUCACUUACUUAACAGACAAGGUCCCUCUGAAAGAAAAAAAAAAAAAAAAAAAAAAAGAAGAAGAAGAAGAAGAAAGGAAAGCAAAUGGGCAUGUGCAGAUUUCAUCUCAUACACAAUGCAAACCUCGAGCAUAAUGCUACUCCUACACUCUGUCACCCCUCUGCUCCUUGCUUCCCUGUGAAACAACCGUCACCAGACACAAGACAAAGUUCCAUUUUACAGUUCUCCCUCUCACACUGCUAACGCUAAUGCAGAACAAACAUGCUUGGCAGUAAAUAUGUACAUUAUCAUUAUGUAAAUAGGUACGUUAUCAUUACAGCAAAAUGAUGAUGCUCUUUGCUAUGUCUACAUUCCCUUUCCAAGAAUAUUAUGUAGUUUGAAGUAUAAUUUCCACUAUGCCACUGGGGCUAGAAAAACACUACAGUUCAGCAAUAAUUAGUAUACUGUAUACAACAAAAUGUUUACCAUGGAUAAAAUCAUGUGCAAUCCUAAAUCAUUCUAGACAAAUAAAGAAAUGCAUUUUGCCAUGGUAGGGGUCAGCUUCGCAACCAACAGAAGCAGAUUCAGAUCAACAUCCCGUCCCACAACUAAGCUGAGCACUGUAUUAUGACAUUUUGUACUAACAGCACCACGAGCUGUGAUAAUAGCACAUUAUGAGGUAAAUGAUCUAUUGUUAGGAUGAAGGAGGCUUCAUUUCCAACUUUAAAUGAUCUAGAAGUGGCUGUAUGUCACAGGCUGUUGGGCAAUGUUACAGCAUUUACACAACGUCUGUUGCUCAUGCAUAGGUAGAUAUAUUAGCACUGUAAAGCAGAAAUCCGUAGGUUUAUAGUAACUCAGAAAGUUCUUGUUAUCAAACAGCAAGAGAAGACCAGUUCCUCAGUUAAGCAGCCCUAAUAUUAACCAUAUAUCUAUCUACCUCAGGUGAUUACUCGUGAAGUCUAGAUGUGCAUGUCCUGUAAAGUAGAGGUGAAAAGAUGCUACCUUUAUACAGAAAAAAAAA
ensembl:lncRNA